rnacentral:rRNA from 1 species
UACGGAGGGUGCAAGCGUUGCUCGGAAUUACUGGGUGUAAAGCGGGUGUAGGCGGUUUUACGUGUCGGAUGUGAAAUCCCAUGACUCAAUCAUGGAACUGCAUUCGAAACUGUAGAACUUCGAGUACGGGAGAGGAGAGUGGAAUUCUCAGUGUAGAGGUGAAAUUCGUAGAUAUUGAGAGGAACACCAGCGGCGAAGGCGGCUCUCUGGAACGAUACUGACGCUGAGACCCGAAAGCGUGGGGAGCAAACAGG